AAAUGGUGGGAAUUCUCCAGGAAACUACCAAAAAUAUACUGGGAUUACAGGAAGAUAUGCGUGUUUGCUAUUCCAAUCAAUCAACCAAUUUUAUCUCUUUUACCAGUGCUGCAUUACUCAUUCUACCCAACACUUAAUAUUCUUCACUGGAGCAAACAGAAUAAAGAGCUGAUUGUCCAAGAAACCUUCCGUUGACAACAAGACUUCAGAGGAGAAGUGCCACGCAAUUGAGAGUUAAUGCUGGAAUAUUACUGGAUCCUGAAUGGAUAAAAAGACUUUGUCCUAUAUUUACACUUCCUCCUGCUUUUUCCUACUAUGCACCAAAAAUAGUAUUUUCUGACUUAUGGCAGCAUAUCCUAUACUGUAGGGCUUGCCUGUUAUAGUUCAUUUCAUUGUAAAUAAACACUUCCACCUCUA